rnacentral:misc_RNA from 1 species
UUACAACAACAACUCGAUGCCUUAGAAAAACGCCGUCUGGAGUUAGUCAGCGGACAAUACACCGAUGCCCAACUACAAGCCCUCGAACAAGAACGAAUUGUACUCCAACAAAACUAUCAACAACUCCAAGAACAAAUCCGCCAAACCAGUCCCCGUUAUGCUUCCCUCAAGUACCCCGAACCCCUCACCUUAAGUGAAAUUCAGCAACAAGUCCUCGACGACGACACCCUACUGUUAGAGUACAGCUUAGGCUCUGACCGCAGCUAUCUCUGGGCAGUCACCAAAACCAGCUUCACUAGCUACGAACUCCCCAAACGUAGCGAAAUAGAAGCCCUCGCCCAAAGCUUCUACCAAAAUACUGGCAAACAACAA